rnacentral:rRNA from 1 species
GACAGAGGGUGCAAACGUUGUUCGGAAUGACUGGGCGUAAAGCGCGUGUAGGCGGCUCGGCAAGUCGGAUGUGAAAGCCCUGGGCUCAACCCAGGAAGUGCACUCGAAACUGCCGAGCUGGAGUCCCGGAGAGGAAGGCGGAAUUCUCGGUGUAGAGGUGAAAUUCGUAGAUAUCGAGAGGAACACCGGUGGCGAAGGCGGCCUUCUGGACGGCGACUGACGCUGAGACGCGAAAGCGUGGUGAGCAAACAGG